AAGUCGUAACAAGGUUUCCGUAGGUGAACCUGCGGAAGGAUCAUUAAUUCCGGGCGCUCACCCCCCUCCUGUACAUGCCUCUUGGCGGUCGGGUCGGGGAGGCGCUGACUGCCUAACCCUUUGCCUAUGUGUACCCCCAUCCGCUUCCUCGGCAGGCUCGCCUGCCGCCAGGAACCAACCAAACCCUUUUGCAUCGUACAUGAAAACUUCCGAUACAAAACUAAAUUAUUACAACUUUUAACAAUGGAUCUCUUGGUUCUG
rnacentral:misc_RNA from 1 species